UACGGUAGGGUGCGAGCGUUAAUCGGAAUUACUGGGCGUAAAGCGUGCGCAGGCGGUGAUGUAAGACCGAUGUGAAAUCCCCGGGCUUAACCUGGGAACUGCAUUUGUGACUGCAAGGCUAGAGUACGGUAGAGGGGGAUGGAAUUCCGCGUGUAGCAGUGAAAUGCGUAGAUAUGCGGAGGAACACCGAUGGCGAAGGCAAUCCCCUGGACCUGUACUGACGCUCAUGCACGAAAGCGUGGGGAGCAAACAGG
rnacentral:rRNA from 1 species